CACUGUCUAUCAAAAUGUAAAGAAAUAAGGAAGAACAGGGUAGAAGGGGACUCCGAGUCCUACGGACGCGGGCAGGUGUGCCUUGAAGUCUCUAAAAUAAGCAACUCAAUGUGCUAAUACCGGGACAUAUAAGAUGUAACUGGAUCUGCACAAAAACAUGUGAAGAAGCGUAGUAUGAGUACACAACAACGGUACCAAAUAAGUGCCACGCCUGACCUCGAUAGAGUAGUGAUGAGGUCAGGCCAAGGCCCUACUAGAGAUAAUAAGAAAUAAGACAGAAGACAUAAUGAUAUAAUGAUAAUGACAAAGAAGUGACACAAUAAAGAAUUUACGAAAAGUAACAACACGAAAAGAAGGCAGUUCAUACAACACGAAGGGAAAACAAGGAUUUUACAUGUUAAGGAAACAACAACCAAACUAAUACAACAAAUAGAGAAGAUCAAUAGGGGCACUCCUGAGGUACCGCCUCGUCGUCCCAAAUCAAAAAAGUAACUCACAAUCGUUCCUUUCUCACCACGGGGGCCUUUAGAUUUAGUUUUGAAAAUUAUUUUUCCUGAAAUAGCACCCUGCGUUUUACCCCACCUUAUCACACUGCAUGACUUCUAGUAGUUCCCCUAUUAGCCACGCAUAUCAAGCCCACCUUAUCUCAUGACAUGCAUUUCAACACCCAGACCUUAUACCAUCGCAUGUGUAUCAAUAAUAACAAUGGCACGACAGAAACCUCGAUGCAAAUAGUAACAACAGCAUGGAAAAAACCUCAUGCAAACAAUAACAAUAGCAUGGCAGAAACCUCGUGCAAAACAACCAAACAAUCACCUCAACAAUAACACAAAUGCCAAAAUAUAACAACUAAAGAAAAUGAUAUUCACAACUUACGCCUUGAUUUAAUAGAAACCACGUCCUUUGCAACUCAGCACCAAACUCAACAGUAAGAUAUUUCAAGGAUAGCAAUUUCAAAUAAAGAACUGUCACGUCCGAAACUACACCCUAGACGUGACUGACACCCAACUAACACCACCCGCCAGACGAACCAUAUCUUCAUACCUUAGGCAUUAAUUUGUAGUAUUUGAUUAACGAAAUAAGUCUCCAAAUAAUCUGAUAACCAUUACGGACAAUUAAUAUCUUAAAACAUUAUGAUGAAAUUCUAACCCAAAUCCCACACUAAAUCAAGGAGCAUCUAAGAGAAUUACAAAAGACAUCAUAUGAAUAAAUAACUAAGACUCUUUUUGCAACCUCCACGAACAAUGCGGCAGCUCACCUCAAUAACUAAAUCAGCUCCAGCGAACUCCUUAAUCACUAGCUUCGUUCUCAGCACAGUAUCUGCAUGGACAUGCAGGUAAGGAGUGAGUUAUACGUAAAUAUAACCCAGUAAGAUCCUCGACCCGCUGCUCUGAAUACCUCUGGAACAAGUGUUAGAAAAUACAAACACACAAAGAGCACAGAAAUAAUAUGCACAAAAAUUCUUUCACCAUUUAAUUACUCUAUAAGAUACAAACAAUUAUUCAACAACAACACUAUAUAUAUCCCAACACAAUCUAUACUAAGGACUUGUCAUUAACGGCAGUGCGGGAAAUUAACCAAAUACCUCCAACGAGUCCACGACAGCAUACACAAUGCCCCAAAUCUACUACGGCGGCAUACACAAUGCCCCAAAUUUAUAACGGCGACAUACACAAUGCCCCAAAUCUAUAACGACGGCAUACAUAAUGCCCUAAGUCUAUAAAGGCAGCAUACAGAAUGCUCCAAGUCUAUAACAGCGGCAUACAUAAUGCCCCAAUAUAUAUUACGGCAGCGAAGAAAUAAUUUCUAAUGCCCCAACACCAUAGCACGAGGCUACGCCACAUCACACUACACCACAAAUCACCUAUUAAACAAUUUAAGCUUUUUAUAAAAUAAUAUAUAUUUACGACGGUCAAAGACCACCGAUUGUGCCAAGCGCACGCUCGUCCUAACACAUGAACCAGACAGACAAAACAUAUUUUUAAAACAGGUUUGGAGAGGUAAGUAUCAAAGCUUAAAAUCUCAUUUACUCGUCAAUGGGAAAUUUCCUUUUUUCCAAACUUGCGGCUUCUAGAACACCAAACAAACUGUCUCCAAUGGCCUCAAUCUAUACAAAAUAUUGAUUAACGAUGUCAACUAUGCAGUCGGGUCAAAUUUCAAUUUCCUUAACUUUCAAGCUUCGAGUUAAGUCUUAAUUUACACUUCAAUGAAAAUAUAUAGCCCGUUAUCUUAAUCUAAACCAUUAUUCAAUAUAAGUUUCUAUUAUCUAAUACUUCGAAUCUACGGAUAGAGUAACGGUCAGAAUCUUUCUAUACUUCAAGAAUAAAGGUUCGUACAGUGGCUUCCUAUUUAAAGCGCAAAUUGCUUUUUGCAGUAGUUAUCAAUCUUUGGAAAUUUCAAUCUUCUCCCUAAUUACUACAUACCACUCAUCCAUGUCCAUAAUCAUUAUAUGUUAUCAUUACUUUACUUCUAAUCAUUAAUUCAUUGUACAAUACUCCAUCCGGUCCAAAAUAAGCGAUUUUUUUUUAAUGUUUUCACACAAAUUAAGAAAUCUACCUUUUAACAUUAAUUAGCAAUGGAAUUGACCAUAUUAACCUUUACUAUCUCACAUAAAUACUCCUAACACAUAUUCCAACACUAUUUACUCCAAAAACAAUAUAGAAAAAAAAUAAUUAAUUCAUUCUUAAAAUCUGAAAAAAUCACUUAUUUUGGACCACAAAAAAACAGCCAAAAAAUCACUUAUUUUGGACCAGAGGGAGUAGUUUAUUAAACUAGACAAGUUAAAUUCAAUGUUCAUGCUUACAUUAAAUUUCUAUACCUGCAAAUCUGGAAUUGUAAGAAACCCUCACCCGACCCGAUGUUCUAAUAUUGUGCCGUCAAUUCCUGAUAGAAGCUCUUCUAUCUAUUUUACUAGACAGUGAUGGCCAGCACAGGCCCAAUAAUAUAAACUCUGAAACUUUUAUUUUUGAUUAAAUCUCUUUUAACAUAAAAUUGCAUAUAAUAAGAAUUGAUGCAAGUAAAUAACUAUCAAAUUGGAUAAAGAGGACAUUGCAUAUUAACUAUUGGACGUUAUUUAUUUACAUACAUAGAGGAACAAAUAUAUAUCCCUCCUUGAAUGUUGCCUUGCAAGGUGACAUAUUCUUUAAAUCCAUGGAUAAUAUUUACAUAUUGACUAAAAGUGAUACAUUUACAAUGUUGUAAUUAGUCUUCUUCGCAGUCCUUAAUAUAUAUAAUGGCACCUAUAGAAGCAGAAAGCGAUGAUCAAAUGUCAAUAUUCAAUAUAAGGGGACUAACUUAUUUCCCAGGUAAAUGAAAAAGGAAAGCAGAAGAAAAGGAAAAAAGGGACUAUCAUUGAUUUAGAAAAUCAUUCAAAAGAGUUUGAGGUAUGUGCAACGUAACCCACUACCUCAAGGGGAAGAAUGAACGAACAUAUAAAUAGAACAAAGGGUGCAAGGAUACAUAAGUGCCCUCUAACAUUUUAUUUUUUUCUUGAGAAGAGAAGUGCCCUCUAACAUUAACAAAAGAAAAAUAAACAUGAUGGAUCUUGAAGGAGGACGGUACACUCUUCAAUUUUUUCUUACUUGUAAUUCGUGAUAAAAAUCAUAAAGUGGUUCAUUUAUAAACACGUGUUUAUUUAAAAAGUCUCAUAUAUGAAUAAAAGUUAGUCUUGAAUUAUAAUAAUAAUAUAAAAGAAUAAUGAAACAGAAAAUUAUUUUCGCGUGAAUUUAGAAGGUAUUUUGGCUCAGAUGGAGUCAGCAAAUGGAUAGUUUUUUAAAUUUGGAAUGGACAGUUUUUUUUAAUUUUAAAAUUGAAGAACCUAUAGCAACUAAGGGCAAAUAUACCAAAAAGUACCUAAACCAAGAAGAUUAAUUUUAACCAUAGCAUGCUAGUACAGUGGGACGAGUCACACCAUAAGUACUAUCAAAUAUGAAAGCUGCUAUUUUAAAGUGCAGCAUUUUUCAUGAAAAGUUCAGAAAAAAAAAACAGAGGAUUAAAAAGCUACAGUUCAGCAAAUUACUUUUGCUCAAGGCAACAAUAACAUUGGCAGUUGCUUAAAGUGUGAUUGGAACCUUUAAAAAUACUGAACAUUGUACUUACAAGUUCCUGCUAACUAUCCAUACACUUAUUUGCUUAGGUUCUUCAUUAAAAAGGUCAACAAAAUAUCGUGCCCAGAAAUAUUAUAAUCACUAAAAGAUGGAGCAUUUUAUAAUACAUAGUAGAAGGUUGUGUUAGAAAAUAAAAUCAAGUGAAGCAUUAUAACUUUAUCAAUACAAAAUGUCCGUGUAGCUCAAUUUCUAACAUGUGGAAGGUCCCUAUCUGCCGUAUAAUAUAUGCACAUUCUACUACAACAUCAAAGCAAUUUAGCCCAACUUUGAAGUUGAAAUUUCUAAACUAACGUGCUACCACUGUACUCACUUUGAGCUUAUAAAACUCUUAACAAGUUAAGGAAAUAAUAGAGGAGAAAGUUUGUUCAUGCUUUGCUUAAACUAAAAUAUAGGAAGGAAAAAAAUCAUAAUAGAAGUAAUAACUAUUAAUCUUAAGAAGUUCUAUCAUGCUUUUUUAAACCACAACAUGAGAAAAAGAAAAUCACAAGUUCGAAAUCAGAACUCUUAUUAUAUCAACUCAAAUAAUUCUAUAUACAGUCAUAAUUAGCUUAAAUGACCACAACCUUUCAUGGCUUAAAGGCAAAAGAGAGUGAACAAAAAGAUUAAAGUUUGAGGAAUCAUCUUUUUAUUUUUUCCUUCUUAGUUUUGUUCUCUCAAUCACUAAAUAAAUCACUAAUUCUCAAAAGAACUAAAGUUUUCUUUAUUAUUCAGAUUCAGAAUUCCAAAAUAUAGAAAGUUAGCUUUUAUAAUCUUCCUUCUAAUAUUUUUUCUUUCCUCUUUGACUUCAAAAAUGGUAGUAAGCAUUAGUAAGUACUGAGACAGAAAAGAUAACUUUGGCUAACUCAGUACACUAAUCCAGCCUUACCUAUUUAUCAAAAUCACAAUUUUAAGUCGUCCCCUGAUUUAAAAAACUCGGUAAAUUGAAAUUUAGCAUGGUAGAAAAAUCUCCAGUAUUUAUAAGUAAAUUUUGACUGCUAUAGAAUGACACAUUUGAAGUCCAAAAGGCAAGCAUUCUUUAAACAUCAAUGGGUUUUAAACAUUUUACUUUUAUUUAACACUACUCUCAGCGCACAUUACUUUUAUAACUCGGUAUUUUGCAAAAACUAAUUGCAUUGCAAAUAAUUCACAGUAAAUUACUUAUGGUGUCGAUAUCUUGCUACUAACUCUUUAUGGCUAAUGCUAUAUGAAGUUAGCCAAUUGUGACCCAUAAAAUCUCUUAGAGAACAUGCUAUGACUCAUAAACUUGCUUUACUUAACGAGCUUCUCAUUGCUUUGGUUACAAAAUUUUCUUGGUGCAUGACUUCGUACUUUCUCUUUUUUUUUUUCUCUUAGCAAGUACAUCUCAAGGUACUUCUUUAUUGAUUUUCCCAUUGGUAGCUUAUCAUCUUUGUCAUGUAUAUCCAUGAAAAAUUCGACCUAGAUAGUAAGCUGAAGUAGUUCAGAGCUGCAGGAGUUUGUUAACAUUCCCAAAGAGUAAUUUUUCUAGCAUUGUUAUACGCUAUACAAGAUAAAAGAGUUUUAGGGAUGGAUUUACAAAAAAAUAAUAAUUUAAGUACCGGUUGAAUGACUUGAUGCGAGAGCAGCAUGAGGAGAUGUCACUUUCAGGAGGCCCCAUUGGGAUUCUUACCUGUUUGAUGAAAGUCUUGCUUUCAAACAAAGACAUUAGAUGAUAUCUAACAAACAAUAAAGUAUUGAUUCCUCUAAAGAUUGUAAAAGAAAGUCAUAAAAAUUUAGCAAAUCAGACACGAUUGUAUACAGUUAACUCAAGGAGCUUCUUCGAGAACAAAGAGGACCAAGAAUAUCUUUGAAGUAUCUGAAAGUCUUUAUACUGGAUUCAAAUUUUCAGUUUCCACUUUAAAUUGAUUCGUGAAGAUCAGUUUCUUUCAUUCGUGAAUAAGAAAUGAAAGGCUAAAAGCCAAAUAAUUACCACGAAAAUUCCUCAAGUUUCUCUCUAUAAUUAUAUCUCUCAUCCUCUGGCUGAUAAAAUUACACGCGCUAAAAGUGUCAGACAUUCGUUGAUAAUUCCCUAUUUUCUCUCUUACCUUCGGAGGAUGGAAAAGACCAGGGAUGCAUAAAAAAUUAAAUGUGGUCGUUGGCCGAACCAGUAUUAUACCAACAUAUAGAAAUAAUAGUAAAAAGCAAUUAGCAGCACAUAGCUUUACUGCACACCAAAUGACUCGAACAGCAAAGCAAAGAGGCUAAAGCUUUCUUCCCGAUUAUCUAGAGAGACAUGUCCAUUGAGCAAUCAAUCUUGGUCCUUUCUGACUUUUUCCGCUGCAUAAUGUUUCUCACAAAUUGAACAACACUCCAACUUACUCUAUAGCAGCAAAAACAAACCUACAAAAUCAACUAAGCUAAAAUCAAAGUAAGUAGAACUUGGAUUGAGCACAAAGAGAAGAAAUCUCAUAUCUACGAUGAAAGAGAGAGGAGCAAACUUAGGAAGGCGAUAAGAAUGAGGAGACUGUGAGGUGGGUGCAGGAGUAGAAGCCACGUAGGUAUUCUUUAUAAGCGAACUAAAAAUCAGCUUCUUUAUAAUAAAAAAUUUCAAAUUAAAAACGACAGAGCUUCUGAAGAUGAAAAGCUUUGAUCAACCACCUACUUCAAAUCAAUGCUAACAUGUGUCUAAAUGCGAUAUAGGAUCAGUAAAUUACUAAAGAUCCAUUAAAACAUUGAAAUAAAUUAUCAACUUUCUCAUACUAUCAGUAGAUACAACCAUUGAUGGCAACGCCAUAAUAUUGUCGUCCUACACCCCCUCCCACAAUAAUGAAAAUGCGAAUUUAUGUUGUCAAAUCUUCAGCUAUAACCUACAGUAGUACAUAAAUCAAAUAAAUAACUUUGUGUGUUGCUAGUCAGAUCCGAUAAAUGAUUUUAAAAGAUUGACUCGUCAAGAAGUUGGGACUCUAUAGAAUACUUAGAGCCCAAUUGACUAUACUAUCCACUUAAUGAUUUCUGACAUGAAUUUGAACUACUUCAGGGGUAGAACUUGAAUUAAUGAUAGCCUUUGAAUUUAGCAGUCCUUAUAUAUCGUAUUAACAAUUAAAAUAUGGUCGAAGAAAAAAUCUCUAUUUGAUAAGCUUUCUUCCUAAACUUAUGAAUUUAAUAGGACCACCCCCAAGAACAAAAGACGCGGAGACAGAGUUAAAACUUAUAGCAGCAAUGAGCGGGAGAAAAAUCUAAGUACAAAAGAGAAAAAAUUUAUCACAUCGUUGAAGUUUUAUAUCUGUUGAAAUAAAGGCAGCAAAUGCUUACAGGCUACAGCAAACAAUAAUCCUUCUUUCAAAAUCCUAUGCAGAACGAAGACCAAGAAUGAGAAAUUGAUGAUAGGGGUAGGGUUACAGCAUAAAAAGAAAAAUAAACAGGAAUCAAACUGAAGAAGACUACCUGAGUUAAAACCUAAUAAUUGAAGCCUUUCUGCAGAUGGUGCAAAAACUUGAAUCUCGUUCCUGUUAUUCAGACACAGAUAAACAAAAUCAGUAAUAGUUUACCGUGAGAGAGCAAUGAAAGAGCAGAAGAGGGGAGAUGAAAUUGAAGAAAGGAACAUUGGAAGAGAACUAAAGAAGAUAAAGAACUCCAGACUAAGCAAUGUGAGGUUUUACCCAAAAAAAAUUUCUUCUUAAUUAGGCUUAUCAACCAGAUCAGUGUCAGUAUCGGACUGAGAUAGAGAAGCAUUUAGGCUUUACAAAAGAGAAGAUCAACAAUGGGAAAUUGUUGCAAGUGGAUGAAGCUUCUAAUGGGUGGAAAGAGAGAUAAAGCGAGAUACAAUGAAGUUUGAGGUUGAAGAUGAAUGGAUUCUACAGCCAUUGGAUAGCAAAACUAAAAAGGGCGGGGAAAACCCAAAAAGAAAAGAAUUAAGGAAAAAGAAGAAGAUAUGUGCAGAAUUAGUUGAAGAAGAAACAUACUUGCAGCAAGAACACAAACAGAUCUGGAGAGCAAGAACACAAAUAGGAAGAAGACGGUGGAAACAAAAGGUGUACUCUCUGAAUUGUAAAUACCAAAAAAAAUAUAGGAAAAAGUUAAGUUGUCAAACAGCUGUAAUGAUAUCAAAUACACGUAAAGGUAUUGGAAAAAGUGAAGUUGUCAGACAGCUAUAAUGAAAUCAAA
rnacentral:lncRNA from 1 species